CCUACGGGGUGCAGCAGUGAGGAAUAUUGGUCAAUGGACGAGAGUCUGAACCAGCCAAGUAGCGUGAAGGAUGACUGCCCUAUGGGUUGUAAACUUCUUUUAUAUGGGAAUAAAAUGUUCCACGUGUGGGAUUUUGUAUGUACCAUAUGAAUAAGGAUCGGCUAACUCCGUGCCAGCAGCCGCGGUAAUACGGAGGAUCCGAGCGUUAUCCGGAUUUAUUGGGUUUAAAGGGAGCGUAGGUGGAUUGUUAAGUCAGUUGUGAAAGUUUGCGGCUCAACCGUGAAAUUGCAGUUGAAACUGGCAGUCUUGAGUACAGUAGAGGUGGACGGAAUUCGUGGUGUAGCGGUGAAAUGCUUAGAUAUCACGAAGAACUCCGAUUGCGAAGGCAGUUCACUGGACUGCAACUGACACUGAGGCUCGAAAGUGUGGGUAUCAAACAGGAUUAGAUACCCUGGUAGUC
rnacentral:rRNA from 1 species